rnacentral:rRNA from 1 species
UGCGUAGGCGGGCUAAUAAGUCAGUGGUGAAAUCUCUCGGCUCAACCGGGAAACUGCCAUUGAUACUGUUAGUCUUGAGUUCGGUUGAGGUAGGCGGAAUGUGUAAUGUAGCGGUGAAAUGCUUAGAUAUUACACAGAACUCCAAUUGCGUAGGCAGCUUACUAGACCGACACUGACGCUGAGGCACGAAAGCGUGGGGAGCGAACAGGAUUAGAUACCCUGGUAGUCC